GUGCGCCAUUUUAAUUAAUUUAAUAAUUUAAUUAAUUUAAAAUUUUAAUAAUACAUUUUUAAAUAAUAAUAUUUUAUUGGCAAAAAAAUGUUUUACUAGUAAUGUUGUUCUUAGGACUGCGAAAACUAACCCCACAGAACUUCCAAAACUGAACCACAAUAUUUAGUUUUCAGUUAAACUUUAAUUAAUAAUUCAAUUCACACAUUUUAAAAAAAAUUGGUUAUCGAUUCAGAUCAGUGAUCAGUUAUUUUGAUUUUAUUUUUAAUUUUCUUAGAAUUUUAUUAAUUAAAUAAUUUGAACUUAUACCAUACUAAACCAAAAUCAUAUCCAAAUAUUGAACCAAUUUAAUCGAAAUAUCUGAACUAACCAAAGUACCAAACCUGAUAAAAAUGACCCAAAAUUUUAACUAAAACCUAAAAUCUGACCAAAAUAAAAAAACUUCAGUUUAGUUUGGUAGAAAAAUUGAAAACAAAACUAAAUAAUUACCAAAUUGAAUUAAUCUUUUAUUCAG
rnacentral:lncRNA from 1 species